CUGUUGUUGAUCGCGGAAUGGGACCGGGUUGGACCUGCACGGUUUCGGCGGGUGGGGCUUCCUGGGUCGCGGCUCGUGGGCUCUCCCUGUUCUUCGUGGAUGUUGCUCGGUGGCUUUGGUCGGGGUCACUGAGUGCAGCUAUGACACGUCAGAGGAGAUCUGGCCCUCCCGGCUGAGCCUGGUUUCUCCCAAGGUUUUUUUUCUGCAUUUAUUCAUCAUUGGAGUUUUGGUUCCUCGCCACAGCAGUGCAGUGUUGGCUUGCUCACCGGGAGACUGCAUUUAUUUAUUUAUUCAUUUAUUUAUUAGAUAUUAUUUAUUAUAACGAUCUUGCUUGGUCUAUAAACACCAUGCACUGUGCUGUGUUUUACCUUUCUGUGUUUUUCUUAUUUGCUCCUGUAAAGCUGCUUUGGAACAAUGCACAUUGUGAAAAGCGCUAUAUAAAUAAAAUUGAAUUGACUUAAUUUAAUAAUAUAUUCUUAUGUUUACCAUGAUUUUUAGGCACACAGUGUUAAGCAGCACAUAACAUUUGCAAUAUGAAGAGUUUAUGGUUGCUACUUUUUAAUUUAAAUGUUUGUUUAUUGGACAAAUCCACUAUUGUAAUCCACUUCAAUCGCACUUUGAAAAAGAAACACGGCGCGAACGUCACUACGGCAAGCAGCAGGUGUCCGACAUUAUUCCAGGUUUCCGACUUGACUGCUCCUUUUUCAACUCCUCCCUCUACUGCAAGCGGCUAAUCUUGCCGAUCGGUCUGCGCUGCGCUGCAUGAUCUCGAACACACCCAUAGACUCCGGGGCGGAUCCGCCUUCAAGUCACCUAGUCCGCUGCACUCUCAGAUUCAAUUCGGCCACACGCACAGAAUAUGCCCCGCCUCCGCACAAUGCACUGUCAACUUGCAGAUUCGCAACUGACGCUGGGCCGCCUUUUUUAAACCGUCACAGUCACUUAAUCCAUCUCCUCACACAGUGGAAACACUGGAGCUGGCAGGUCAGUGAGGACGGAACACGGUAAGAAUAGUUAAAAUAUGCUUUAUUUGUACAGUUACGUAGCCAGUAACAUUACCGUUGAUUGCUUUGCUUGAUGUUUUUAAUUCUGAAGUGAUUUUUGCAAGCCAAGUUUCAUCACAUUGUCAUUAGCAUUGAGUAAAAUUGAUUUGGUAAAUAACUUUUUGAGUAAAAGCUUUUUGGACGGAAUGUCUUUAUCUUUCUAGGAGGUGAUUCAAUCGGAUUUUAAUCCAAUCCUGAGCGUAUAUUUUCUCCCCUUUCCAGUAAAAUAGCAGGCGAGAUAAACUGAUGUUAGGCCUAACGUUACCUGUUUUUUUUACACUGAACUUCUGGUAUAGUUUGAGUCUUUUGUUAAUAUUUUGACAUAUACAGUAUUCUCCACCUCCCCAUCUAAUGUUGUUUCAGAUAAUUUUCAUAUCAUAUUAAAUCAUAUUAAGAUACUGUGCGUGUGUGUGUUCUGUUGUGUGUGUGCUAUUUUGCAGUUUACAGCUCAUUCAAGUGCCACUGGUCUUGCAGUAUUUCAUCUUUUCCAAACAACCGAGUAAACUUACAGCUCAUUCAAAUGCCACUUGUCUGUUUUUGGAGAAUUUCAUCUUUAAGGUGCUGUGAGAAAGAGCCAUGUCUCCUGUGCCGCCACUGAUGAUGACAUUACAAAACACGUAAUACGGUGGUUCAACUUGGCAGCAGAUAGGGGAAACUCAAGGAGCCGUCCCACUGUCAGCACCAACAGUAGCGUUUCGGUGUUUCACUGUUAAGUGUUUGUUUAACAGUUAAGUAGUAACAGUUGAGAUAAAGUUUACUACUUUAAAUAGUUAAUGUUUUAUUUAUUUAUUUUUGUUUCUAUUCAUCUUCAAAAAACCCAGUUUCCACACAAAACAAUACGCAGUAUUGACAUUAAUAAGAAAAAAUGUUUCUUGAGCUACAUUAAAAAAGUGUUCUUUUUCAUUAAAUAAAAAAAUGUUCUUUGGACAAUUUAUGGUUGAUUUCAUUUUCUGUAAUACCUAUUAAUUGUAUACAUAAAUAAUUGUUACUGGCUAAAAUGGGUGAAUUUAAAUUUACAAGUUUUGAAUGAUUUCAUCAUGUUUUAUUAAUAAAGGCAGGCAUAUUAAAUAUUAUAGAGCAAUCCACUCUAUCCAAUGUCGGUCCAUUAGAUUUGAAAUAUCUCUUUAGCUAGUUUUAGCCAGAAUACUAGUUUUAAAUGAGGGAUCUGAAAGGUAUCCAGACAGAAUGACCAGAUCGGACCUGUGGCGGAUCAGCUGCUUUAUAAACGGGUCCAAAUUGGAUCCGUGGCGGAUCAGCUUCUUUAUAAACGGGUCCUGCUCGGAUCCAUGGCGGAUCAGCUUCUUUAUAAACGGGUCCUGCUCGGAUCCGUGGCGGAUCAGCUUCUUUAUAAACGGGUCCUGAUCGGAUCCGUGGCGGAUCAGCUUCUUUAUAAACGGGUCCUGAUCGGAUCCGUGGCGGAUCAGCUGCUUUAUCAGUGGAGACAGGGCGGUCUGCCCCAGAUCUGGUCCGGAUCCGCAAUCCUUAUUUGUUCUUGGUCCGCUUCGCUGUGCAAGUGGACUCCGUUCCUGACCCGUUUUGUGCAUCGUUCCGGAGCUUGUGAUAAUUCCGGGGCGGAUCCGUUCCAGAGUCAGUUUGAUAUCUGGGACGGCGGUAGUAAGCAAAGCAACGACACUGUGUUUAAACUUAAUAAGACAAUAUUAAUCAAUUACACUUAUGCGCUUCUGUUGACUUCUGCAAAAUGCUUCUCCCCGUUCCCCUUUCUCCCUCUUUACGUUAUAUGUUGAGCUGUUUUUCGUUGUUCUCACGGCAUGAUUGAACACUACCCACUGCGUCAGCGGAAAUUAUGCAUUUUGACCAAGCAUAGAACCGUUUCUGAUGGCUUCCGCUUGCGCGGCAUGCUAUGGGCUUAAUGCUCGUGCUUGCGGCUACGCUGAUUGGUUGAGGGGUUUUCCUUCACACUUGCCUUGUGAUUAUGUUGGGAGAGCGCUGGGUUCCGCUCUUUGCUGCUCUCACGGCGUGAUUUUAUAUGGUUCCCCAUAGCGCUCCACGCAAGGUUGAGAGACCUCUCUCGAAAGGGAACGUCUCCGGUUACUGUCAUAACCUCGGUUCCCUGAGAGGAGGGAACGAAACAUUGCAUAAACUGCCGUGUUCGCGUGCUCAGAUCGUCGCGCUGUAAUGUUCAGUCGAAAGAUUCUGAGGGUAUGCUGUCCAGACGGUGUACUAUAUAGGGGUGGUGAAUAGUAAAUACGAUACACCGAAUGUCAAAAACGUGAUUUAUUACC